GAUGAAGAACGUAGCGAAAUGCGAUAAGUAAUGUGAAUUGCAGAAUUCAGUGAAUCAUCGAAUCUUUGAACGCACAUUGCGCCCUCUGGUAUUCCGGGGGGCAUGCCUGUUCGAGCGUCAUUAUAACCACUCAAGCUCUCGCUUGGUAUUGGGGUUCGCGGUUCCGCGGCCCCUAAAAUCAGUGGCGGUGCCUGUCGGCUCUACGCGUAGUAAUACUCCUCGCGAUUGAGUCCGGUAGGUCUACUUGCCAGCAACCCCCAAUUUUUACAGGUUGACCUCGGAUCAGGUAGGGAUACCCGCUGAACUUAAGCAUAUCAAUAAGCGAGGA
rnacentral:misc_RNA from 1 species